AACGAACGCUGGCGGCAUGCCUAACACAUGCAAGUCGAACGAUCCCUUCGGGGAUAGUGGCGCACGGGUGCGUAACGCGUGGGAACCUGCCCUUAGGUUCGGAAUAACUCAGAGAAAUUUGAGCUAAUACCGGAUAAUGUCUUCGGACCAAAGAUUUAUCGCCUUUGGAUGGGCCCGCGUUGGAUUAGCUAGUUGGUGGGGUAAAGGCCUACCAAGGCGACGAUCCAUAGCUGGUCUGAGAGGAUGAUCAGCCACACUGGGACUGAGACACGGCCCAGACUCCUACGGGAAGCAGCAGCGGGGAAUAUUGGACAAUGGGCGAAAGCCUGAUCCAGCAAUGCCGCGUGAGUGAUGAAGGCCUUAGGGUUGUAAAGCUCUUUUACCCGGGAUGAUAAUGACAGUACCGGGAGAAUAAGCCCCGGCUAACUCCGUG
rnacentral:rRNA from 1 species